GCUCCAGGCUCUGAGCUGCCAGCACAGAGCCCAACGCACGGCCCAAACCCAUGAACCACGAGAUCAUGACCUGAGUUGAAGUCAGAUGCCCAACUGACUGAGCCACCCAGGUGCCCCUCACAGUUUUAUCUUAACUCGUUAAUAAGGAACCAGGUGUAUAAGAUGUACAAGAUAAUGUAUAUAUGGAAGUACAAGAAAAAAUAUGGAAUAAGUUCACUAAGUUAGAAACAAACUAGUUAUUUUUUUCAAGGCAAUAAAACCAUAACCUUUAGAAUUAUAGUUUCUAUCAAACAGAUGCCACUUUUCUCUCUACAGGAAAACAAUCGUUUGUAUCACUAUUGGAUAAAAACCAUUUGUACAUUAAUGAUUUUCAACAAAUUAAUAGCUAACCUUGGAGAGUCAUAAAAUAUUGACUCAAGACUAAAUAGCAAGUCAAACGAAGUUUGACUAGAAAGUCGAAGGACCCCAAGGUAGGCUUGACAAUAGGGGUCAUGUAUCUACUUUGCUUUAUUUCUGACUUUUUGAUAUUGUUUUUCUUGAAGAGAGAAGUGACCAAGGAGGAGACUCCAUAUUAUUGGUGAUAUUAACUGCCUCUCCAGUUCCUUCAGUGCAGGGGGGCCCAGCUGGGUUGUGCUCCUGGCUUCCAGCCGUGUGGGGUGCAGAGGGCCUGUGAGUACAAGAAAGGGAGCUUUGAAUAAUGAAUGCACAACCUCUGGGGAUGGAUGGAGAGGGAGGGUCCACAGCGUGUGGGAGGAACAGGAGCGGAGCCCUGGGAUUUGGCUAGAGCCCCAGCCUACCCCUAACUCACAAGGACUCUUGGAAGGCUGCGUGGAAGGGAGUUUAAAAGCUUGGGUGGAAUCUGUUCAUUUUACCUAACUGAGUGAUCCUUUCCUUACAGGGUGGAGUUCUGCCCGGUGCUUUUGAGCCAUUAACAGGAUUGUUCACUCUCAUCACUGCACCUUUUUUGUGUUGUUUAAUUUUUUAAGUUUGUUUAUUUACUUUGAGAGAGAGAGAGACCGAGAGAGAGAGAGAGAGAGAGAGCACUGGGGAGGGGCAGAGGGAGGAAGAGAGAGAGAAUCCCACUGGCAGUAUGGAGCCCAAUGCAGGGCUCAGACUCACAAACCGUGAGACCAUGAUCCGAGUCAAAAUCUAGAGUCGGAUGCUCAACUGACUGAGCCACCCAGGCGCCCCACCACUGCCCCUUUCUUAUCCCAAACAUCCCUUAUUUAGCACACUGAACCUGGAAGUCUAAAUGUCAGUCUCUGCCUCUGGCUUUGUUCUUUCCCUUCCAGUUCCUGGCCUGGGAUCAUCGUUGCCCCUUCCUACCUUUCCGGAGCAGAACCUGGCUCUUUGCGGCACAACAGUGGGGGUAGCUUCUGACUAGGAAAGAGAGCUCCAGUCAGGGUGGCAAACUUGUCCCGGUAUUCCCAGAACUUCCUGGAUUAAAAAACUGAAAGUCCCACAUCCCAGGAACGCUCUCAGUCCAGCAAGGAGGUAUUUGUGGAGGCUUCCAAGAAGACAAACUGAACAGGAUGGGAUGUUUGCUUUCAUGGAUCAGAAAUGAAUCACAUUACUUUCUUUCAGUAACGACACAGAGUUGCCGAGUCACAAGAAAGAAACAACAGAAAGAAAAUGUUUUCGGGGUGGGGGGGGGGGGGAGGUUGUGAAUAAAGUCUCCUGCGUGGAGACCCAGGAUUGUGAGACAGAGAUUCACGGUGUUUGACUGUGGUUGCCUCUAGAAGGACAAUAAACUUGCCAUGCUUAUUUACAACUA